GCGGGAAGAGCUCAAAUUUAUAAUCUGGCACCUUCGGUGUCCGAGUUGUAAUCUCUAGAAGUGUUUUCCGCGUUGGACCGCACACAAGUCUGUUGGAAUACAGCGGCAUAGUGGUGAAACCCCCGUAUAUGGUGCGGACGCCCAGCGCUUUGUGAUACACUUUCAAUGAGUCGAGUUGUUUGGGAAUGCAGCUCAAAUUGGGUGGUAAAUUCCAUCUAAAGCUAAAUAUUGGCGAGAGACCGAUAGCGAACAAGUACCGUGAGGGAAAGAUGAAAAGCACUUUGGAAAGAGAGUUAACAGUACGUGAAAUUGUUGGAAGGGAAACGCUUGAAGUCAGACUUGCUUGCCGGAGCUUGCUUCGGUUUGCAGGCCAGCAUCAGUUUUCCGGGGUGGAUAAUGAC
rnacentral:rRNA from 1 species